UGAUCCUCUGAGACAGCAGUUUGUCCAUCUCCAAGAGCCAAACCACCAAUAUCUUCAACAACAAUCAGCUGCCAUCCACAAUUCCGACUUGCAGCAACAUCACCAGCAGCAAAUCCCACGUCAUCUUCUGCAGGCUCAGACGCAGAUUCUGAGUGAGAAUCUUCCUCAGCAGAAUAUGCGACGAGAAGUUAGUAACCAAGUAGCUGUGCAGGCACAGCAACCGGACCGUGUGUGGCAGCAUUCUGAUUUGAUUUCACCUUCAGAUUUUACCAACAACAAAUUUCACAUCAGCAGCUAAUCCAGUACAGCAAACAAAACUUGAGCCUUCAAGGCUCUGGAGGAGAUAGUAGUAGCAACCUGUUGAAUUUCUCUAUAACUGGUCACUCUGAGCAAUUUACCACCGACACAGGAUUGGUCUCUAAAACACUCUCACUAUCCUGAAACCAACUUUUUUCUGAGCCACUGUCGCUUGGACAAGCCUACGGUAGAGCAAGUCCAUCUCUGGAACCUCCUCCAAGUACCCAAAACCUCUCUCUUUUUGGUGGUGAUUCGGACUCUGGUCUUUUCCUCCCAACCACGGUUCCUCGUUUUGGUAAUUUUUCAGCAGAUGCUGCUGCUGAUACCUCCUCAAUGCCACUGACAGAUUCUGGAUUUCAGAACACUACUUUGCAAGGAACUACCGAGUUAGCAGCACAUGGGGUUGUUGAACACAAAGAGAACUUUGUUAAGGUUUAUAAAUCAGGUUCGGUGGGGAGGUCACUGGACAUAUCAAGGUUCAGCAGCUAUCAAGAGCUGAUAGAAGAGUUGGGUAAAAUGUUUGACAUCAAAGGGUUGUUGGAAGACGCCUUUAGAUCAGGCUGGCAGCUUGUAUUCGUGGACAAGGAGGAUUGAUAUCUUCUUCUCGGCGAUGAUCCUUGGGAAUCAUUUGUGAACAGCGUUUGGUACAUAAAGAUACUGUCGCCGGAUGAUGUGCACAAAAUGGGUGGUGAACAUGGGGAGGAUCCUCCUUCCACAGAACCUGACCCAUUUCUGAUUGAUCUCGUCUCAUUUGGGGGCAUCAUCACCUGUUUCCCUUGUGUUAUCUGUUUGAAUAUUCUGUAUGAACGUAUCAUUUCGCAAGUUGAGUCUUAGAAACUUAAAAGACACUCGUCUGGAACUGUCAUAAAACAUAUGUUUCUCUGGUAGCAACGUUAACUCGUCUUGCUGUAACAAUUAGACUCUUCUUUGUUAUCGUAAUGCCCCCGUGUUAGUCUU